rnacentral:rRNA from 1 species
AACAGAGGGGGCAAGCGUUGAGCGCAAGUACUGGGCUUACAGCGCAGGUAGAUGGUGUUUAGUAUAAAUUUGUUUUCUGUCCUGGAAAAAUCGAGGAAUAAACAAUAGGACCUUAACACUAGAGUAAAAUAGAGGUUGGUAGAACGUCUGAAGUAUCGGUGAAAUGAGCACAUUUCAGUCAGAAUACCGUAGGCGAAGGCGUCCUUCACAUAUUAUACUGACAUUGAGCUGCGGAAGCGUGGGGAUCAAAAAGG